UACGUAGGGACCAAGCGUUGUUCGGAUUUACUGGGCGUAAAGGGCGCGUAGGCGGCCCGGUAAGGUUGCGGUGAAAGCCCGGGGCUCAACCCCGGGUCGGCCGUGGCAACUGCUGGGCUGGAGCACAGUAGAGGCGGGUGGAAUUCCGGGUGUAGCGGUGGAAUGCGUAGAGAUCCGGAAGAACACCGGUGGCGAAGGCGGUCCGCUGGGCUGUUGCUGACGCUGAGGCGCGACAGCGUGGGGAGCAAACAGG
rnacentral:rRNA from 1 species